rnacentral:rRNA from 1 species
UGGGGAAUCUUGGACAAUGGGCGCAAGCCUGAUCCAGCCAUGCCGCGUGAGUGAAGAAGGCCUUCGGGUUGUAAAGCUCUUUUACCAGGGACGAUAAUGACGGUACCUGGAGAAUAAGCCCCGGCAAACUUCGUGCCAGCAGCCGCGGUAAUACGAAGGGGGCUAGCGUUGUUCGGAAUUACUGGGCGUAAAGCGCACGUAGGCUGAUUGUUAAGUCAGGGGUGAAAUCCCAGAGCUCAACUCUGGAACUGCCCUUGAUACUGGCAAUCUCGAGUCCGGAAGAGGUUAGUGGAAUUCCCAGUGUAGAGGUGAAAUUCGUAGAUAUUGGGAAGAACACCAGUGGCGAAGGCGGCUAACUGGUCCGGUACUGACGCUGAGGUGCGAAAGCGUGGGGAGCAAACAGGAUUAGAUACCCAGGUAGUCCCUGAGCGGGCUGGCAAGGCGCAU